UUUCAGUGAUGAUACGAUGACGAGACAGACUGUCACUUCAUGACCUUUGGGCCUUGUCUCCACCCUGCCAUGUUUUAUGGUCGGUGUGUUAACUGGUUCUUUGCAAGGUCCAUGUGUACUUGGUGACACUGAGGCAUUUGUCUGAGAAAG